AUCUUUCCAGCCCCUUGAGAUUUAUUUUUAAUUAUGUAUAUAUUGGUACGCUCUCAUGAGUGCUGGUGUUCUUGGAAGACAAACAUGUCAGAGUCCCUGGAGCUGGAAUUACAGGAGAUGAUGAACCACACAUCUUGAGUGCUGGGAACUGAACCUAGGCCUGCUAGCAAGAACAAUAUGCGGUGGUAACUCUGAGCUCUCUUUUCAGCCCCACUCCCGGAGUUAGCAUUCUUAUUUUAAAAGAGAAGAAUCUAAGCAGAGUAAGACAUAGUCAGACGAAAGCCAAACAAAAAUCCAGCAGAGCAAACACCAAAUCCUGCAGCUCGCUGUCUGGUAUAGGGGAGGCGCUGCUGGUGUUGACGCGAUUUGAUUGCCCAGGCUCUGAAAGGCUUGGGUAGCCCUCACGCCUUCAGCCCUGACACUGGCAGCACAGCCUUGCUCUUGGGCCCUCCCCACUCCGUGCCCACAGAUUUCCAUGGCAGGCAUCCCACAGUUCUGCCAUCACCAUCAUCUCAGAGUCUCCAGUGAAAUUUUGAGUUAGUCUUCACAGUUUCACACAAUGGUCUCUCAAGGCUCCCUUGUGGGAACUCUAACCCUGCCCCAUACUGUCUAUCCUCAACUGCUCUCUAAAUCAUGGAACAAGAGUCCACAAUCUCCCAAUUUUGCACCUUUCAUGUCUCAAAAAAUAGUAGCAUAGGGAUGCUGUGCUGACACUAUGAGAUGCAGCCUGUCCACCUUGGACUGCAGUUUUUGUGUGUGGAUGUUUGCACUUGAGUGCAGGAGCCAUAAAAGACAGAAAAGGGCAUUGGAUCCUUUAGAGCUGAGGUUAUAGGCAAUUGUGAACACCCAACAUAGAUGCAGGAAGUGAACCCGACUCCUCAGCAAGCCCAAAAUUAGUUCAGUAUAAGUAUAUUAUAAUUGGUCAUUAGGAAUAAGAAUAAUUACUGAGCUAUCUCCCCAGGACUCUGAACAUAAUAGGGUUUUUUUUUUUUUGUUAGUUGGUUGCUGCUUGUUUUGUUUUGUGUUUUUAUUUUUCUAAAGAGAGAGUUUCUUUAUGUAGCCUUGGCUAACCCAGAACUCACUCUGUAGACCAGGCUAGCAUCAAACUCAGAGAUUUGCCUGCCUCUACCUCCUGUAGAGUGAUGGGAUCUGUAUGCGCCACAAACUCUCAGAGAAUAUUACUUUUAAGUCUCUCUGCUCUUAAUUUGCCCAACCCUUCUCUCUUACCACUGUUCACCCGUACCCCCAUGUGCAGAUUUGUACCCUAUAAAUAUCUAGUGCAAAACGAUCUUGACAUUGUAAGGACUCUGAGAAUUAUGCUUUCCUGGUGCUUGCAGCCCUGAGCUACUCCCUCUUGCAGGCGGCCCUCCUGAGUGAGCUCCUAGCCCCUGGUGCUCUGCAUAAAGCAUGAAUGCAGUGGUUCCUAAUUGUCUUUCUUUCCUUCCUGGUUUCAUGUCCUUCAAACCCAGCAAGUCUAGAUGCAGACUACCUUUCCAGCAAAAUCUGUAAACAACAAGAGUGAAACCUUACUUGGACAAGAAACUGUAGUGCAUAUCUCUACCACAAGAUGGCGCAGUUCAGAUAUGAAAGAAAAAAAGGUUCUCCAGCUCAGCCAUACUAGGAUUUUAAAUGCAUUACAUUUCAAAAGUACUCAUUUAAACGUUGAGCCUUCUCCUGUGAUAAACAUGCAGGCAGACGGAAAGUUUUAUGUGUCUAUGUCUCUUAUCUGAUUAUUAUUAUUAUUUUACUCCUACCAUUGGAGGGCAUGUCUUCUCAGAUAGUCAGACAAUGUUUUUGAAAGAUGAGCAUUAACUUUUAACCUAGUGUUGGAAAACUCUAAGGUAAGCGUUCUAUCAGCUAAGCUGCCUCUCCAGCCUUCCAAGGGAGAUGGUGUUAGAGUUCCUUCUGGAACAUCAGGACCAAUAUGAUAUGAACGGAGGCUCGGGAGAAGAUUUUAAAGAAUUGGUUUGCAGGACUGAGAGGUUUAAGUAGGGCAAACCAGUCUGAAAUGAAUUCGGAGUGCAUUGCUGGGCCUUGGGAUACAUCUCAGUGGGAAAGUGCCCCGCUGGCAAGUACUAGGUUCAAUCUCCAGCCCAGAAUAACAACAACAGACAAUAAUAAUAACAACAAAGAGUUGAGACAUUCUUGAGUCUAAAGGCUGUGUUGCCUUCUGCUGGCAGAAUCCUUCCUCAGGACAUCCAGCUGAUGGGAUGUGGCCCAUCUACAUCAUGAAGGCUAAACCCAUUCACUCAGAGUUCACUCACGUAAACGUUCAUCACCUUUGUGGUUUGGUAUUUACCCAGCCACUGGGCUACCAAGGUCUGUUGAUGCAACACAUGAAAUUAACUGUCACAAAGAGCUGAAUGGAGAGACUAAGGUUAGCAAGAAGGGGAUGGUCAUAUUAUUGACGUUUCCAUCUUUAGUCAUGGGUGGGAUUUGAUAGCUUGCAGCUGGAACAUCCCAGAGGGACACCAGGGAGAUUUCUGCAGAGAGAGAGAGGCUCUGCUGCUCUGGCCUGCUCGCCUUCCGAACUCAGACUCUGGGCAAAAUAGUGAGCCUGAGGCUCAUCAGGUUUGGGUCUGAAGAGGAAUAAUGACAUGCAGACUUGGCCUUUCUCCCCAGUUGCACCUCCUGUGACAAUUCU
rnacentral:lncRNA from 1 species